UACGUAGGCAGCAAGCGUUGUUCGGAAUUACUGGGCGUAAAGAGUGUGUAGGCGGUUUUCUAAGUUUGGUGUGAAAUCUCCCGGCUUAACUGGGAGGGUGCGCCGAAAACUGGAAGGCUUGAGUGCCGGAGAGGAUAGCGGAAUUCCUGGAGUGUAGCGGUGAAAUGCGUAGAUAUCAGGAGGAACACCUGCGGUGUAGACGGCUAUCUGGACGGCCACUGACGCUGAGACACGAAAGCGUGGGUAGCAAACAGG
rnacentral:rRNA from 1 species